UGAUAAGGGGGGAGGGGGGGAAAUGGAAGAAGUUAGUGAGAAAGAAGAACCAGGGAAUUGAGGAAGGUACAGAGAAGAAAGAGGGACGGGUAAUGGGUGAGCGGAGACACAUGGAAAAGGAGUUAGCAAAGAGGCUAGAAGAGAAGAGAAAGGAGAAGCAUGGAAAAAGUGGAUGGGGAUAAGUACCUGGACCGAUUUCUUUAGCAUCAGGUAGAAUCCCAAUUGCCUUUGUCAGGAUGUAACUACUAGGUGUUAAAAAUGCAGGUAUUUCUACAAUUUAAAAAAGAAAGGGUAGAAGUGACCAUAGCUGAGAGCUGGCAUCAGCUUGGUUCUUACCUUUCAAGAGCUUACAUUGCAAUUGGUCCUAUUUCUGUUGAUUUGAUCACUGCAGCUUGUCUGUCAGAAGUUCAUAUUGUACCAUUUAAGUACGAAGAAUGCACCUUCUCCUAGCAAUGGAGUGGAAAUUAACCAAUCUGAGCGUUUUCAGGUGAAGGAAGUGAAUCUAUCCUUUGCUGUCAAAGGCUACAAGCAGUUUCAUAAGAAUAAAGCAAGAUACAUAACCAAAGCUUCUGAGGUUACAGAAGUAUUGACUUGUUCCAAUCAAGAAGGAAACCACUUCUACCUACUAGAUUUUUAGCAGUACAGCUGAUUGUAUGGAGAGAAAGAGAGAAACCAAUCCAGCAAUUCAUCACGCAGAAGGAGGUCAUAUUUCGAGAUGCAAGGAUGACACAUGGCUGUCGUUUACAGGAAGGAAUUAGCGGAUCCAUCCUUUUAAGGAGAUGUCAAGAACAAAGUGGAACUAAUCAUUUCUAUCGAGAGGUAAGGAACGCACCUCCUCACAGCACGGGGACAGGACUUAAAGGCUCUGUUUCUAUUUUCAGGUGAAAGGAAGGUCUUACCAUUCAAGGGAGGAUGAUAAGAGCCUGCUGCAUUUAAGGAAAAAAGACAGGUAAGGAUACCUGGCCAGAGGAAAGAAAAGCAUCUUUUACUUUUACUUCUAGUUCAGAAAAAGGCAAGCAGCCAUUUAUAUUCUUCAGGUUUUACCCUGUGUAGCUGGCUGUACCGCUAAGAAUCAAAGCCUUGCGGUGGAACAUGACUGACAAGUAGGUGAGCACUGAAAGGUCUCUAGAAGCCUAAUGAUCUGGAUGCUAAGGAACCUUCUCCAUUGAUGACUCUUCAUAGCUGCUAAUGAGUAAUAAUAAAUAAUUCUGUCAAACAAUGAUUGCAGGUUUUGCUCUGAGAUAUGAACAGACCAGGUGGCCAUUCCUACCAGGGAGAAGUGAGGCUAAGUGGCGUGGCUAUCCCGGGCAAGGAGUUGAGAAAUACCAGUCUCCAAACAUCCAUGUGUACAUGAAGUGGUGUGGAUUUUGCUUUCAGGGAGAAAAACUGUGGAUGACCUUACUUGUCAUGGGGAAAGUGUCAAAAGCAGACUCAGGACAAA